rnacentral:tRNA from 1 species
GCCCUGGUAGUAUAGUUCGGUCCAGUAUGGGGCGCUGUCACCGCUUCGACCCGGGUUCGAAUCCCGGCCAGGGCG